UUGAGCCGUAUGCGGGGAAACUCGCACGUACGGUUCUUAGGGGGGAGCAUUGCCAGUGAUGGUAUGCUCCUACCCUCC
rnacentral:ncRNA from 1 species